GAUGAACGCUGGCGGCGUGCCUAAUACAUGCAAGUCGAGCGAACGGACGAGAAGCUUGCUUCUCUGAUGUUAGGGGCGCGGGGGAGUAAAACGUGGGUAAACCGCCCUUUAAAGCCGGGUAAACCUUGGGAAAACCGUCUCAAAUCCCGUAAAAUAUUUUUAUCCAUAUGGUUCAAAAUAGAAAUACGGCUUUGCGAUUACUUAAAGACGAAUCCGCGUUGCAUUAGCUAGUUGGUAAGCCAACGGCUUACCAAGGCAACGAUGCAUAGCCGACCUGAGAGGGUGAUCGGCCACGCUGGAACGGAGACACGGUCCAGACUCGUACGGGAGGCAGCAGUAGGGAAUCUUCCGCAAUGGGCGAAAGCCUGACGGAGCAACGCCGCGUGAGUGAUGAAGGUCUUCGGAUCGUAAAACUCUGUUAUUAGGGAAGAACAUAUGUGUAAGUAACUGUGCACAUCGUGACGGUACCUAAUCAGAAAGCCACGGCUAACUACGUG
rnacentral:rRNA from 1 species